UACGAAGGGGGCUAGCGUUGUUCGGAAUUACUGGGCGUAAAGGGCGCGCAGGCGGCCUUGGAAGUUGGGCGUGAAAGCCCCGGGCUCAACCCGGGAAUAGCGCUCGAUACUCCGAGGCUUGAGUUCGGGAGAGGAGGGUGGAAUUCCCAGUGUAGAGGUGAAAUUCGUAGAUAUUGGGAAGAACACCGGUGGCGAAGGCGGCUCUCUGGACCGAUACUGACGCUGAGGCGCGAAAGCGUGGGGAG
rnacentral:rRNA from 1 species